rnacentral:sRNA from 1 species
AAACUUAUAUAACAUAGAGAUUUGAUAAUUUUUUAAUUGUUGAAUACUUUUUUUUUGUGCUAAUUUUUAUGUGAUUAAGAUUUAGUUGAUUUCGUAUAUAAAAAAUUAAAUUGUUUUACGAACUUAUCUAUAUAUACAUUUUUGCAGUCACUUUGUGAAAUAAAUCCUGGAGUUGAGAUUUAUUUACAGUCGUUACCACUGGCAUUUAAUAAUUGUUUUUGAUAAUUAGAAAGAAAAUCUUCUAAUUAAAUAUUUGACAUUUAACAAUCUUCCCAAAAUCUUUCUACCUUAACUACACAAUUAAUUACUAAAAUAAAACUUCCAAAAUAUUUAAUAUCAUUUAAUUACUACAAAAUUAUCAUUUUUGAUAUUGCUUUUCGGCAUAAUUAUAAUCAUCAAGCCGCAUAGAUAUUUGAUAGCAUUUAAUUACUACAAAAUUACAAAAUAUUUAGACAAUAAUUCAUAAACAUAUCAUAAAUAAGAUCAACAUUAGUA